GUUGUUCGGAAUUACUGGGUGUAAAGGGUUCGUAGGCGGUGUGGCAAGUCGGGAGUGAAAUUUCUGGGCUCAACUCAGAGACUGCUUCCGAAACUGCUGUGCUUGAGUGUGGGAGAGGCGCGUGGAAUUGCAGGUGUAGCGGUGAAAUGCGUAGAUAUCUGCAGGAACACCCGUGGCGAAAGCGGCGCGCUGGACCACUACUGACGCUGAGGAACGAGAGCUAGGGGAGCAAACAGG
rnacentral:rRNA from 1 species